ensembl:rRNA 5S_rRNA 5S ribosomal RNA
GCUUACGGCCACACAGCCUGGUUCACUCCUGAUCUCGUUUGAUGUCGGAAGCUAAGAUAGGUUGGGCCUGGUUAGUACUUGGAUGGGAGACCGUCUGGGAAUACCAGGUGCUGUAUGCU